AAGAAGCUGCGUAGACGUAAUUUUCACAUGUUCUCUUGCAAAUAGUUUAGAGUAUCAUUCGUCUUUGUUUUUUCUUUCUUAAAAAUGAGAAGUUUAUUUUUACUAUUAUGUUUUGCAGUUUUCGCUGUAGCGCUCAUUGACGCAGAUUCAUACCAAGACCAUCCAAUCAGCAAAUCGAAUUUUCUACAGGAAAAACACCGCUGCGAGCAGACAUGCAAUGGUGAUCCGGAAAAAUGGAAAACACAAUUCUGUUUGGAGACUUGUCAGAAACAUCUUGUACAUAUUCUUUAGCAAUUUUUGUAGUGAAACACUACGUUAGAUAGACACAAAUAACAAAUUUAGGUAAUUCGAUGUAUAAAAAAAUUUGAAUGAAAUAGAAACUAAAAUAAUAAUUUUUGCGCGUGGUAUAUAAUUACUUAUACCCGUUUUCUGCACACCUAUAUUAAAAAAUAAAGUGCUUUGUGUGACGUGCGCCUGACGGCUCAAGUGGUAAAGGUCCAUCGCGCAUGCGCGAAGCACUUUACUCCCUUGGAUGAGAGAUAGCGUGACAAAAUGACUGUUUUGAAGUCACCUAAUGAAGAGAACGUAAAUUUGAAAAUAACUUUGUUUGAACUACAUCAUAAACAAAUAAACCCGAGUACUAAAUCUUAUGUAUUAACUUUUUAUUCUGUUUCAAUUGUACUUGGCUGCGAUAUAGCAAUGCUGGCUACAGUGUGCAUUAUUUUAGCACGGCGCGGAGAUGGUUAGAGGUUUCAUUCCUCUUCAAUAGUACUUCGCCAACCAUAUGCAGCCCCCUUAUAGUGGUGAUGGUCAUGCGCAGUUGGACGUUGCGUAGUAUAUUUAGUGCAGAUCUGUCCAUCACAAGGACAAUGUCAAUGUUGCCAAUGAAGUAACUGCUGUUAAUUAAUUUUGUGAUGGACAUUGUUAGCGCACAAUGUAGUGAGUAACGUCCAACCCGGUCCAACUAAUAGUCUCUAUCUCCAUCAUAAAACUAUAUGGACAGUAGUAACUAGAGAGUAAAAUAACUCACGCAUGCGCACUGCCUCUUUU